CUGGGCCCCAUACAGUAGCCACAGCGGCCUGCUAGGCACUGAAAAGGUGACUACAAGGCGACCAAGGAACUGGAUUUUUUCCUUCUCUUGCUUUUUAAUGGAUGGUUGCUCUCUUGGACAGCACCACUCUGAGGGCCUGGGUUUUACUUUUCUCUGGGCCCCAGUGCCUGGAAAGAAUCAGCCUCAGUUUUCUGUACAAUGGAUGAGUGAACGAAAUGACUGAAUGGUGAAUAUGUGGGCCUAGGACCCUCCCCUCUUCCUAGCCUUUCUCCCUCCUUCAAGCUGUAGGUUUUUGAGCUUGGCUGUGUUCUGGUUACCAGGGCAACCUGCUGGGAGUCCCCCUGGAGGGGGCGGGGCAGCUGUCUGGAGUUCUUCCCCUUUCUUUCCUUGUUUGAAGCCCAGUGGACCAGCCUGACUUGAAGAAGAAAGAAAACAAAGUAGUUGGAGAAGGCAGUAGUCAGGGGAGACAAAGAGAGAUCUUCCAUCUUCUGGUUCACUCUCCGCAAGGCUGAAAUGGCCAGGGCUGUCCGGAAUCCAGGAACCCGGUGCUCCAUCCAGAUCUCUCACGUGGGUGCCAGGGGCCAUCCUCUGCUGCUUUCCCAGGUAGAGUUACAGACAGUGAGAGAAAGAGAAAGAUCUUCCCUCCAUUGGUCCACUCCCCUAAUGGCCACCACAGCCAGCACUGCGCCGAUCCGAAGACUUGAGCCAGGUGCUUCUUCCCAGUCUCCCAUGCGGGUGCAGGGCCCAAGCACUUGGGCCAUCCUCCACUGCACUCCUGGGCCACAGCAGAGAGCUGGCCUGGAAGAGGAGCAACUGGGACUAGAACCCGGUGCCCAUAGGGGAUGCCAGCGCUGCAGGCAGAGGAUUAACCAAGUGAGCCACGGCGCCGGCCCCUAAAAUUUGUCUUUAAUAAAGAAUCAAUCCCCCCCUUCUGUCACAUGAUCCUAAUAAAAUGACCUAUUUGUCAUUUC